CUGUGACAGAGGCCACAGACUCAUUAUCUUUUCUUUGCGGGGGGGAGGGAUUUCUCCUUCUCGUCAUUCUGAUGAGGAAAGUUUGCAGGGUUUUCCAGACCCCAAAUUAUUGACCAGGACCCAGGCAGUGUGCACUUGUUUUACAGGGACCUUAAGGAUGUGGGCUUCUUGAUUUUUCAGCCCCACAGCCGGUGUCCCAGCCCUCACUUCCAGGGCUGGCACAUCUCUGUCCUUUGUGUUUCUAACACUGUGAGCCGCCCCCGGAUCCCACGCACGCCCCCUAGCUCUCUGUUUCAGUGUGGUUCGCCCACACUCUGGAGCCCCGGUUUUCAGCCAGGUUGCGCGCAUGCGCUCCCAAGCUCCUGGUAUCAGUCCAGUUCCAAUGAGCGCUCCAGAGCUCUGGUUUUCAGUCUGGACUCAAGUGUGUUCCCGGGCUUAUGGUCUCAGUUGGUUCUCUGGCCCGCUUCCCAGUGCAGGUGGCUACUGCUUCCCAGGGGCCGAGCGCGGCGGCUCCCUCCUGCUUCCAUUUAUCUUCUGAUAUCUGUGCGCAGAUUCACGGCUCCCCGCUUUGUACCUCAAAACUCAGUGCUGGAGAUGUUCAUUUGUAGAGAUCCAGAUGUAUCUUCCUGUGUCUCAGGCUAAUUCCAUGGGUUUUCUGGAUGGUCUGGUAUCUAUCCAGCUCGACUCAGGGCUGUCUAUCUUCCAGAUGGCAAUGAGAAUCAUUUCUCAUCCCUUCCUGAAUCAGAAAUCUGGUUCCAUGGCACAAUGCACAAUACAAACCUGGCUCAUAAAUUCCCUUCAAAUGUGAAAACACAUCCUUCCCAAGAGUCUCAUUCCUUCAUGACUCUUAAAGGUCCAUGUGCCUAGAAUUACUGUCCCAUUUCUGUUCCAACUUACCUAUCUGUCUUCUAUUUCCCAAGUUGCUCCAUAGGCAUAAAUCUCCAGGAAGUGUCUCUUGACCAAUACCUCUCUCUCUGUUUCUACUAAGACCUUUCAUUCCAGAAAAAUGAUGCUUCACUCUAUAUCCAGGUCUGAAUUCCUCCUAUUUCAGGCUGUUUUUCUCUCCAUAUUGGUUAUCAAUUCUCUCUCCCCAAAGAAGCAUAGAUGCACUCACAAGGUUUCUGCACCAGUUUCUCAAAGAAACAUCUAAAGGAGUAGGGCAGACCCCAUAAAUAAAUACAAUAGAAAAACUCUGGCCCUCCUAUACCAAAGCAUAAAACUGACUGCAUCAAGAAGGAUGCCUGUUGUGCCCACACUGGGAGCCAGUCUCAUCUUCAGGGAUUCCCUGGAAUCAGGUGGAGAUGGUUGUGUCUUCUAUCAAUUUCACUCUUUCCAGCCCCUCCCCACACCCCAUGGGAAGAGAUGGAGCAGGACCAGUGGAGGUCAUGUCAGGCAUUCUCCUGCCCCAGGGCUGUAUUGUCCUGUGGCUCCUUGAAUGAACAACACUGUUCUUACUGUUGGAUCUAGAGGAAAUGUAGAAGCUGCUCCUUGUCCUGAGCAAGACUCCACGGGGAUGGAGCAGACAGGACAGUCACCAGAACUCAGGCACAGCUGCACAGGACAAAACUACAAGUGCCGGGUAUGGUUCUAGAUGCUGGGUGCAGAUAGAGUUCUGGAUGGAGAGAAAUGCCGUUUGUCAAGGAAGUCUCCCAGAAGAUAGUUUUAAACUGGACAUCCAUGUACUCCAAGCAUGUGCAAAAUAUUUAUGGACCUCUGUCCAAAGCCAAAGACAUACCUUGUCAUUAUGUGUAUUAUCAUCCAUUUGUCAUUCUGCCUAACAUGACUCAGAGCCAAUGACUGGUACCCAAUUUCUUUCAUUCUCAGGUGGCAUAUCUUGAAUUUAAUCUUCUGUUGUGCUAUUUUAAUCUGACCAAAAAGUCAGUAUGAUUUAAGCUUGAGAAGGGGUCAGGUUAGGAAAAAAUACUUUAAAUAUAGAUUUACCAUAGAUUGUUAAUAUCUUAAUACAAAAGCUACGUUUGUAUUAUACAAAAUACAAUAAUACAAUUAUUAAUUAUAUUAUUACAAUUACAAUACAAUCAGCUUAAUACAAUUAGCUACUUUCCCAACUGCUCUUUUAUCUUACAAGAAAAUCUGAAAGGUAGACUGUUUUUACUGCCAGAGGAAUCUCUUUCACAGGAUGAAAAGGAUCAUCAUCCAUAUUUGUGCAAAGAAUGUGUAUUAACAUUUAGUAGUUCACUCAUAAGUUUAAGGUAGUAAUAAUAAUAUACUUUAAAGACUGACACCAAAGUCUUCUCUUAGCCCUACUGUAAAAGAUUGCAUGUUUUCUAUAUGGCAUAGAAAAACAUACUUGUUUCAGAAUGAAUGAAAAAUAAAUCCUUUAGUUUUCCACAAAUAAAAUAAAAUAAAAAAAUAAAAUAAAGGAGUAGCACAUGCUAGCCUGAAGAAAAGGAGAAUUUUCUGUACCAAGGGAAUAUGUAAGGCUCAUUCAGUUUAAGAUGAAUUUAUUAAAUGCUCAUUAUGUGCCUGGACCCCAUCUGGAUGCUCUCUGAGAGCGAACAGAACACACUCCUUACCCAUGAUCUAUAAUCAGGAACAGCAACAACAAAAAAAGAAAACAAAGAUAACUGUGGUAUGCUAUUUUUCAAUUUCAGAUUUAUCGAGGUACCAUUGAUGUAUAAAAUUGUAAGACGUUUAAAGUGUACAUAGUGUUAAUUUGAUAGACAUAUAAUUGUGGAAGGAUUCGUUAUGAUUUGCCCACUUUGAAAGGAUUAAUGAUGGUAUUUUAAUAUAAUGUGUCAUUAAAUGAAGGUGAGUGUA